AUUGAACGCUGGCGGCAGGCCUAACACAUGCAAGUCGAGCGGCUGAAGGGAGCUUGCUCCUGGAUUCAGCGGCGGACGGGUGAGUAAUGCCUAUGAAUCUGCCUGGUAGUGGGGGAUAACGUCCGGAAACGGGCGCUAAUACCGCAUACGCCCUGAGGGAGAAAGUGGGGGAUCUUCGGACCUCACGCUAUCAGAUGAGCCUAGGUCGGAUUAGCUAGUUGGUGGGGUAAAGGCCUACCAAGGCGACGAUCCGUAACUGGUCUGAGAGGAUGAUCAGUCACACUGGAACUGAGACACGGUCCAGACUCCUACGGGAGGCAGCAGUGGGGAAUAUUGGACAAUGGGCGAAAGCCUGAUCCAGCCAUGCCGCGUGUGUGAAGAAGGUCUUCGGAUUGUAAAGCACUUUAAGUUGGGAGGAAGGGCAGUAAGUUAAUACCUUGCUGUUUUGACGUUACCAACAGAAUAAGCACCGGCUAACUUCGUG
rnacentral:rRNA from 1 species